GUACACUCCUGCGGGAGGCAGCAGUGGGGAAUUUUGGACAAUGGGCGAAAGCCUGAUCCAGCAAUGCCGCGUGUGUGAAGAAGGCCUUCGGGUUGUAAAGCACUUUUGUCCGGAAAGAAAUCCUUGGCUCUAAUACAGUCGGGGGAUGACGGUACCGGAAGAAUAAGCACCGGCUAACUACGUGCCAGCAGCCGCGGUAAUACGUAGGGUGCGAGCGUUAAUCGGAAUUACUGGGCGUAAAGCGUGCGCAGGCGGUUUGCUAAGACCGAUGUGAAAUCCCCGGGCUCAACCUGGGAACUGCAUUGGUGACUGGCAGGCUAGAGUAUGGCAGAGGGGGGUAGAAUUCCACGUGUAGCAGUGAAAUGCGUAGAGAUGUGGAGGAAUACCGAUGGCGAAGGCAGCCCCCUGGGCCAAUACUGACGCUCAUGCACGAAAGCGUGGGGAGCAAACAGGAUUAGAUACCCCUGUAGUCC
rnacentral:rRNA from 1 species